GUCCACGCCGUAAACGAUGUCUACUAGCUGUUCGUGGUCUUGUACUGUGAGUAGCGCAGCUAACGCACUAAGUAGACCGGCCUGGGGGAGUACGGUCGCAAAGAUUAAAACUCAAAAUGAAUUGACGGGGGCCCGCACAAGCGGUGGAGCAUGUGGUUUAAUUCGACGCAACGCGAAGAACCCUUACCUACUCUUGACAUCUACGGAAGUUUGCAGAGAUGCAGACGUGCCUUCGGGAACCGUAAGACAGGUGCUGCAUGGCUGUCGU
rnacentral:rRNA from 1 species